GAAAGUUUGAAACAAUCUAUUCAAUGAAAAAAAUAUCUCGUAAACUUAUUAUGUUUUAAAAAUUGAUAGACACAUAUAUAUUAUAAUAUAUACCAAUUUAGAUUUGAAAACAAAAUGUUUAAUUAAAAAUAAAUGAAAACAAAAACUUGCGCGGUUGCGCGGAACGAGAUCUAGUAAUUGUUAUAUUUGCUCUCUUAUUUUUUUUUAGUUUAUUUCAGAAAGACUGUUUGAGGUCAGCAAUAAAGAUAAUAUAAUUAUCUUAUUUAUAUGUUGGCAGAUCAAUAUCACUUACAGAAACACUUGAGGAAUUUUUGUAUUUUGUUCUUCGGUUUGUCGUGGAUAGUAUUGUUAAUAUAGUAUUCGUUGUCAGGCAAACAAAAUCAAGUAUAACUCCAACUGGCUCCGGCGGCGCAUGCGUACGCGUUCGGUCGCCGGAGGAGCCUCUGCUCCUUUAUCUUGUUUGUCUCUUGCUGCUCCUCACCUCUCUCUUGCUCUCUGAUAUGUUUGUGGUUCUGGCUUGGCGGUGUCUUGUCGAUUGUUUGCUCUUCGCGCGCGGAGCUUCUAAAAUGGUGAGUCAUUGGGUUCGUCUGGAGUUAUAACGAGGAGUUGUCAAGGUUGGGUGGUGGAGUAGUCGGCUUUUAGGGUUCAUGGUGAAGAUCGAUUUUCAAUUUUUGAUUUCACUGGAUCUCUGCGUCGUUGAAGGAGCUUGAAGGGUUGGUCCGGCUAAUCGUCUACGGACUACGGGGGUGCCGUAUGGUUAUUGGUGGUCUCAAUCGAACUCAGUGGCUGGUUCCUUGGUCCUCUCCGGUGUCGGCGAGUCCCAUUCCAUCCCCUCGAUUUCAAGUGAGCUUUGGGAGUUUUUCACUUCCGAGACGUGCCUUAGAUCCGGGAUACGCAGGCGGAGAUGGUAUCUGGUUCUUCGGGAGAUUCUUCAGCUCUGGCUCGUGUGGGUGUAGCUGGUGGUUGUGACAGACAGUCGUCUAUGGCUUCUCGAUGACCCUCCGCUGCUCCACUUCACUUCCGAUUACUCCUUCACGGCAUCCUGUCCAGUCCUCCGUUUUGAAGGUGACGACUUUCUCAUCGGAGCCAAGUCUCAAGGCAUAGAUUUGUUUCAGUUUCGAUUGACUCCGGAAGCUGGUAUUUAGCGGCAUUGCAAGCGGUCCAUCGGUUCUCGAUGGUCGGAAUUGGGAGGCGAUCUUCGGGAGUCAUUGGUCGUCUCGGGUCAACAAUUUGUCAAAGCGCACAUCCCGGUUUCGCUUUGGUUCUUUGGUGCUAUGUGACAGUGUGGCUAGACUUUCUUUGCAGGUUUAUGAGACUAGCUUGGCAGGUUGUGGCGUCGAGCUCAACCCGUUUUUCAUGUUCGGUUCUUGACGAGUUUGGAGACGGUCUUCUCUUGGUAAGAGCAAGGUACGUUUUCCGUUCGUCUAGCGCUUCAUCGUCGGUGAUGAUUAUAAGCUUUGAGGAGUUCAUCGGGCACUAACUACUUCAGAGACGACAUGGGGAUUCCCGGCAUCCGAGGCAACGAGGAGAACCUCACGUUCCCGUGGUUAUCGUCGAUGGAUGAGAACGUGACCAAGAAAGGAGGUUAUCGUUUGGAGCGAAGUGAGCGUAACAAAGGAAGAAGGCUACGAUUUGGACCGAAGAGAGCGGAACAUCACAAGUGUCCUCCAUCUUGAAUCAGUAUUGUCUGUCAUUCCAGGAAGGUCACAAAAUUGUAUUGUGAAACUUCACUAACUACCAUAUUGCCAUAUUGGGCUCGGAGCAAAUACGUUGCCUUUGUUUUCGCGCGGUUAGUGUCUGUCUACUAGGGUGGUAGAUGAUGCGUUAAGUUGUUAUAUAUAGGAAGGUUGCCUAUUCUUGUGCAAAAAUAAAAAAUUCAAAAUUUAUGAAAACCAUGAAAACGAAUAGCUUA